rnacentral:rRNA from 1 species
AAGGUAGCAUAAUCAUUAGUUUUUUAAUUGAAAGCUGGAAUGAAAGGCUGAAUGAGAAAAUAGCUGUCUCUAUAAAAAUUUUAUAGAAUUUUAUUUUUAAGUAAAAAAGCUUAAAUUUUAAUAAAAGACGAGAAGACCCUAUAGAGUUUUAUAUUUAAAAUGUAUAUUUUUUUUUUAGUAUUUUAAAUUUUAUAUUUUUAUAAUAUUUAGUUGGGGUGAUUGGAAAAUUAAAUAAACUUUUCUUUUAAAUUUACAUUUAUAUAUGAAAUUAUGAUCCUUUAAUAAAGAUUAUAAGAUAAAAUUAC